rnacentral:rRNA from 1 species
UACGUAGGGGGGCAAGCGUUGUCCGGAUUUAUUGGGCGUAAAGAGCGUGUAGGCGGCCAUACAGGUCAGCUGUGAAAACUCGAGGCUCAACCUCGAGACGUCGGUUGAAACCGUAUGGCUAGAGUCCGGAAGAGGAGAGUGGAAUUCCCGGUGUAGCGGUGAAAUGCGCAGAUAUCGGGAAGAACACCUAUGGCGAAGGCAGCUCUCUGGGACGGUACUGACGCUGAGACGCGAAAGCGUGGGGAGCGAACAGG